GACGAACGCUGGCGGCGUGCUUAACACAUGCAAGUCGAACGGAAAGGCCCUGCUUUUGUGGGUUUCUCGAGUGGCGAACGGGUGAGUAACACGUGAGUAACCUGCCCUUGACUUUGGGAUAACUUCACGAAACUGGGGCUAAUACCGGAUAUGAUCUCCUGCUGCAUGGUGUGGGUUGGAAAGUUUCGGCGGUUGGGGAUGGACUCGCUGCUUAUGAGCUUGUUUGUGGGGUAGUUGCUUACCAAGGGUUUGAGGGGUAGCCCGCCUGAGAGGGUUAACGGGCACAAUGGGCCUGAGAGAGGCAGCAGAAGGGAACGGGCGGCAGCAGGCGGGAACAUUGCACAGUGGGGGGAAGCCUGAGACGGAAGUGCCGGGUGCGGGAAAACGGGUUACGGGUGGAGAACAGAUUUCGCAGGAGCCGAAGAGGGAGUGACGGUAAUGGAUAAAAAAGCACCGGCUAACUACGUG
rnacentral:rRNA from 1 species